UACGUAGGGUGCAAGCGUUGUCCGGAAUUAUUGGGCGUAAAGAGCUCGUAGGCGGUCUGUUGCGUCGGCUGUGAAAACCCGGGGCUCAACCCCGGGCCUGCAGCCGAUACGGGCAGACUAGAGUCCGGCAGGGGAGACUGGAAUUCCUGGUGUAGCGGUGAAAUGCGCAGAUAUCAGGAGGAACACCGGUGGCGAAGGCGGGUCUCUGGGCCGAUACUGACGCUGAGGAGCGAAAGCGUGGGGAGCGAACAGG
rnacentral:rRNA from 1 species